rnacentral:rRNA from 1 species
UUAAGCUACUAAGAGCACACGGAGGAUGCCUAGGCGCUAGGAGCCGAUGAAGGACGUGGCGAACGACGAAAUGGCCUCGGGGAGCUGUAAGCAAGCUUUGAUCCGGGGAUGUCCGAAUGGGGAAACCCGGCUGGAGUAAUAUCCAGUCACCGCUGCCUGAACACAUAGGGCAGAGGGAGGCAUACCAGGGGAACUGAAACAUCUAAGUACCCUGAGGAAGAGAAAACAAGAGUGAUUCCGUCAGUAGCGGCGAGCGAACGCGGAACAGCCUAAACCAAGGGGCUUGCCCCUUGGGGUUGUGGGACGUCUCACAUGGAGUUACAAAGGAAUAAAGUAGGCGAAGAGGUCUGGAAAGGCCCGCUAGAAGAGGUAAAAGCCCUGUAGCUGAAAUUUUAUUCCCUCCGAGACGGAUCCCGAGUAGUGCGGGGCACGUGAAACCCCGUAUGAAUCUGCCAGGACCAUCUGGUAAGGCUAAAUACUCCCUAGCGACCGAUAGUGAAGCAGUACCGUGAGGGAAAGGUGAAAAGCACCCCGGGAGGGGAGUGAAAUAGAACCUGAAACCGUGUGCUUACAAGAAGUCAGAGCCCGAUUCAUAAGGGUGAUGGCGUGCCUUUUGUAGAAUGAACCGGCGAGUUACGUUCCCAAGCAAGGUUAAGGUGAGAAGCCGUAGCCGCAGCGAAAGCGAGUCUGAAUAGGGCGGAGCACAUGCUCUCGAAGUAGCAAUACUUCGUAUUGCUUGUCAGUUUGUGGACGUAGACCCGAAACCGGGUGAUCUACCCCUGUCCAGGGUGAAGGUGCGGUAACACGCACUGGAGGCCCGAACCCACGUACGUUGAAAAGUGCGGGGAUGAGGUGGGGGUAGCGGAGAAAUUCCAAUCGAACUCGGAGAUAGCUGGUUCUCCCCGAAAUAGCUUUAGGGCUAGCCUCGGAAAUGAACAGUCGUGGAGGUAGAGCACUGAUUGGGUGCGGGGCCCGCAAGGGUUACCAAGCUCAGUCAAACUCCGAAUGCCAUAGACUGAUUAUCCGGGAGUCAGACAGUGAGUGCUAAGAUCCAUUGUCAAAAGGGAAACAGCCCAGACCAUCAGCUAAGGUCCCCAAGUGUGUGUUAAGUGGGAAAGGAUGUGGAGUUGCACAGACAACCAGGAUGUUGGCUUAGAAGCAGCCACCAUUUAAAGAGUGCGUAAUAGCUCACUGGUCGAGUGACUCUGCGCCGAAAAUGUAACGGGGCUAAACACACCACCGAAGCUAUGGCUUGAUGCAAUGCAUCAGGGGUAGGGGAGCGUUGUAUGCAGGUUGAAGGUGUACCGGAAGGAGCGCUGGACAGCAUACAAGUGAGAAUGCCGGUAUGAGUAACGAAAAGAUCAGUGAGAAUCUGAUCCGCCGAAAGCCCAAGGUUUCCUGAGGAAGGCUCGUCCGCUCAGGGUAAGUCGGGACCUAAGGCGAGGCCGAAAGGCGUAGUCGAAGGACAACAGGUUGAAAUUCCUGUACCACCGUAAACCGUUAUGAACGAUGGGGUGACGCAGGAGGGUAGUGACGCGGACUGAUGGAUGUCCGUCUAAGCAGUGAGGCUGGUGUGUAGGUAAAUCCGCACACUUCUAAGGCUGGGCUGUGAUGGGGAGCGAAAAUUACAGUAGCGAAGGUCAUGAUCUCACACUGCCAAGAAAAGCCUCUAGUCAGGUGAAGGUGCCCGUACCGCAAACCGACACAGGUAGGCGAGAAGAGAAUUCUAAGGCGCGCGGAAGAACUCUCGUUAAGGAACUCGGCAAAAUGACCCCGUAACUUCGGGAGAAGGGGUGCCCCGGUAGUGUGAAUAGCACGAGGGGGCCGCAGUGAAAAGGCCCAAGCGACUGUUUAGCAAAAACACAGGUCUGUGCGAAGCCGUAAGGCGAAGUAUACGGGCUGACGCCUGCCCGGUGCUGGAAGGUUAAGGGGAGCGGUUAGGAGCAAUCCGAAGCUGUGAACCGAAGCCCCAGUAAACGGCGGCCGUAACUAUAACGGUCCUAAGGUAGCGAAAUUCCUUGUCAGGUAAAUUCUGACCCGCACGAAUGGCGUAACGACUUGGGCGCUGUCUCAACGAGAGAUCCGGUGAAAUUUUAAUACCUGUGAAGAUGCAGGUUACCCGCGACAAGACGGAAAGACCCCAUGGAGCUUUACUGCAGCUUGAUAUUGGAUUUGGGUACGAUCUGUACAGGAUAGGUGGGAGCCGUUGAAGCAGGAGCGCCAGCUUCUGUGGAGGCGCCGUUGGGAUACCACCCUGAUCGUAUCUAGGUUCUAACUUGGUACCGUGAUCCGGUGCGAGGACAGUGUCAGGCGGGCAGUUUGACUGGGGCGGUCGCCUCCUAAAGAGUAACGGAGGCGCCCCAAGGUUCCCUCAGAAUGGUUGGAAAUCAUUCGAAGAGUGCAAAGGCAUAAGGGAGCUUGACUGCGAGACCUACAAGUCGAGCAGGGACGAAAGUCGGGCUUAGUGAUCCGGUGGUACCGCAUGGAAGGGCCAUCGCUCAACGGAUAAAAGCUACCCUGGGGAUAACAGGCUUAUCUCCCCCAAGAGUCCACAUCGACGGGGAGGUUUGGCACCUCGAUGUCGGCUCAUCGCAUCCUGGGGCUGAAGUAGGUCCCAAGGGUUGGGCUGUUCGCCCAUUAAAGCGGUACGCGAGCUGGGUUCAGAACGUCGUGAGACAGUUCGGUCCCUAUCUGUCGUGGGCGUAGGAAAUUUGAGAGGAGCUGUCCUUAGUACGAGAGGACCGGGAUGGACGUACCGCUGGUGCACCAGUUGUUCCGCCAGGAGCAUGGCUGGGUAGCUACGUACGGAAGGGAUAAGCGCUGAAAGCAUCUAAGCGUGAAGCCCCCCUCAAGAUGAGAUUUCCCAAUACGUAAGACCCCUUGAAGACCACGAGGUAGAUAGGUUGGAGGUGGAAGUGCAGCAAUGCAUGGAGCUGACCAAUACUAAUCGGUCGAGGGCUUAUCCUA